rnacentral:tRNA from 1 species
GUGUAUUACGUUUGGAACUUCGAUCUUUUAAGCCGUAGGUCAUAGGUUCGAAUCCUAUAGUGCGUA